AAAAAAAAAAGAAGAUGAUAAUUCCAGAAUUUUUACUGAAUCUGCGUCUUUAUUUCCUUUGUUUCUUCUUUUAUAUUCAGAUUCUUUCAUGUUAUCAGAGCCACGGUUCAGUUUCUAGGAUCUUUUUUUUCACCUAUUUUUAUCAAGAAUUUUCUUCAAAUUAGACACUUUGAGCAAAUACCCACGACUUCCUCUGUACAAAAUCUGUUUCUCUCUCAGAAAAUCCCCAAUCACUGUUUUUCAUCCACCAUUUGAACCACCAUGGUUCGGUGGUACUUACCCCAAACUCACACCCAAUAAUUACAUUGCUUGGAGUCGUUUCUUCCUUCUCGCACUCUUGAUUAGAAAUAAAUCGAGAUUUAUUGAUGGCACCAUUGUAGAACCAAAGAAUUCUGAUGCACUUCAUGCUCCUUGGACAAAGUGCAAUAAUCUCAUCGUUGCAUGGCUUAUUGAGUCUCUUUCACCGCCCAUUGCAUCCACUGUAUAAUAUAUCAACUCAACAGCUCCAAUUUGGGAGAUGCUGAAGAAGAGAUUUUCUCAACCCGAUGAUUCCAAAAUAUGCAAUCAGCUGUUCACCCACUCUAACUUUAUUCAAGUGCUUAUCAUAGCUUAUGGAAAAACCUAGUGAUGUUCAUUUACAAGUGCAUAAAGGGUUCUCAAGUAUUUGAGGAAGGCACCAAGGCAAGGCAUACUAUUGGCAUCUCAUUUUGAUUUACAUUUGAAGGUGUAUACUAACAGUGAUUGGGCUGGUUGUCAAGAAACCAGAAGGUCUAUUACAAGUUUUGGUGUGUUCAUGGGUGAUUUGCUUGUCAGUUGAAAAUCCAAGAAACAAUCUUUCGUGGCAAAGAGCUCCACAGAAGCUGAAUAUAAGGCCAUGGCUGUGGCAUCUUGUGAAAUUGUAUAGAUUUUAUCUUUACUUGCUGAUUUUGGUGUUACACAUAAACGACUAUUUGAUUUUUAUUGUGAUAAUCAAUCUGUUCAACAUAUAUGUAAAAAUCUUGCCUUUUAUGAAAGGACUAAACAUAUAGAUAUA
rnacentral:sRNA from 1 species